rnacentral:lncRNA from 1 species
UUGUUGCUGUUGUUGUUUUGUUCUGUUUGUUUGUUUAAUGUUCAUUUCUUUUGAGAGAGAAAGACAGAGUGCAAGCAGGAAAGGGGGAGAGAGAGAGAGAGAGAGAGGGAGACACAGAAUCCAAAGUAGGUUCCAGGCUCUGUCAGCACACAGCCCGACAAGGGCUCAAACUCAUGAGCCAUGAGAUCAUGACCUUAGCCAAAGUCGGAUGCUCAACUGACUGAGCCACGCAGGCGCCCCUGAGUUCCUUUCUUGUAAUUGCUCUUGGAUGAAGGAGAUAUGCCUCACCAAGGUAAAUGCCUUCCCUGGAGAAGCCCCCGCUAAGUGACCAGUGAAUGAGGCGAUGAAGAACCAGACCCCUUCCCACAAUCUGCGACAACCAUGAGGGGCCAUCUAGCUCAAGAGCUCCCAGGAGACAGGCCGAGGCCCUUUGUGCAACCACGUGUUUACAAUUCAUCUUCUCCCUCUGCCCAGUUUUGCUUCUUUCACUUUUUUCUAAUUGUUGUUCCUUAGAGUACAGCCCAAUAAACCUCCUGCAAGCAAAUUUCCAUCUCAGAAGUUCUUUCCUUGGGAACCCAAUCUAUGCCCACCACCAACAAAAAUCAUGUCAAACAGUAGGAGCUUCAACAAAUAUCAUUUCAAUAACUAGGUGAGAAUAUGAAGAAGGAAAUAAAUGAAGACACUUACCUUCAUCAUCCCUGGGACAAUAUACAUGAGAGUAAAGAUGGGGAACGCAAAAACAGUCAUUAUGGACACAGGUUAAAUAGACUAAAUAGAACUAUAGUCACAGACUGCUUGAUCAGAAAAAUAGUGGAAUGUACCAAUCUGCUCAGACAUGAAGUAUGUUACGAAGAAUGGUGGCUUCAGCAAACAUUUGCUACAGACAAGGGACUACUUUAAUGUACGCCUAUUGUGAAAAUGAUUAUAAAGGAUGGUUCUUUCAAGCAGUCCUCUGUUAUUGCAUAUACACAAUCAGAUUAUAAACAUUUUCUGUAAGGCCAUGUUUGAAACAACUCUGUGGAUGUGAAGUUAUAAAAUAACAACAGUGUUCAGUUUGAUUCUUUUGGGACGUGACUCAAUAUGCAGUUUCAGAAACACAAACUGAACUUCUCAUUAUUACUCAGUGGGCGUGAUCUUAAAGCCCGCCGUCGGCCUAUCGGUUGAACUCUCUAAACCGAUAAAAGGGUGCUGCAUUACUGAAGACACAGCACAGGCAAGAAAAACUUUCAGAGCUUCAAGCCAUGAAAAUUACAUUUCACUUCUGCCCUUUUAAAAAUGUGUAUGAGAUCCAGCCAUAGACCGUCUCACAGCAGAGUCAACAUGCCUUUCCAGGCUUUACUACCAAGCAAGGGUUUUAUAAUGCAGGCAAAUUAUAAUGCAGAUAUGUAUUAAAACUGUUGAAUGAGGACAAUUUGUACCUUGUACUUUCCAAGAAUUUUUCCAAGAGACUUUUGUUCUUUUUUGUUACAGAUCUAGGCAAAAUUAAAUAAAAGUUGAUAGCUUGAGGAAAGAAACUUUACA